rnacentral:rRNA from 1 species
GACGAACGCUGGCGGCGUGCUUAACACAUGCAAGUCGAACGGUGAAGCGCCUUCCUUUUUGGUGGGUGUGGAUGAGUGGCGAACGGGUGAGUAACACGUGAGUAACCUGCCCCCUUCUUCUGGAUAACCGCAUGAAAGUGUGGCUAAUACGGGAUAUUCUGGGUCUGUCGCAUGAUGGGUCUGGGAAAGAUAUUGUUUCGGUGGGGGAUGGGCUCGCGGCCUAUCAGCUUGUUGGUGGGGUGAUGGCCUACCAAGGCGGUGACGGGUAGCCGGCCUGAGAGGGUGGACGGUCACACUGGGACUGAGACGCGGCACAGACUCCUACGGGAGGCAGCAGUGGGGAAUAUUGCACAAUGGGCGCAAGCCUGAUGCAGCGACGCCGCGUGAGGGAUGGAGGCCUUCGGGUUGUGAACCUCUUUCGCCAGUGAAGCAGGCCUGCCUCGUUUGUGGGUGGGUUGACGGUAGCUGGAUAAGAAGCGCCGGCUAACUACGUG